rnacentral:rRNA from 1 species
UACGAGAGGAUGCAAGCGUUAUCCGGAAUGAUUGGGCGUAAAGCGUCUGUAGGUGGCUUUUUAAGUCCGCCGUCAAAUCCCAGGGCUCAACUCUGGACAGGCGGUGGAAACUACCAAGCUGGAGUACGGUAGGGGCAGAGGGAAUUUCCGGGUGGAGCGGUGAAAUGCGUAGAUAUCGGAAGGAACGCCGGUGGCGAAAGCGACGUGCUGGACCUCUACUGACGCUGAGGCGCGAAAGCCAGGGGAGCAAACGGG